CCAUAUGGAGAUAAGAACAGGAAAUGCCAUGAGCUCUCUUCUCCCUAAAAGCUGGAAACAUGACUACCAAGACUCUCAUAGCUGCACUUAACUGGAGUUUUGCUGAAUCACAGAAUGGCAGAGGUUGGAAGGGACCUCAAGUGAUCAUUGAGUCUAACCCCCCUGCUAAAGCAGAUACCGCAAUAUGUCACAGAGCCCUCUUGAGGAGGAGUGAGAGUGCAGUUUGGUGGACAUCAGGCAAUCAGCCAAGCUUUUAAAGGUAAGAAAGAAGAAACCAUCAAAACAGCAGCUAUCAAAAUGUGGAUUAUCAAUGAUGAUGACAUGAUGAUUAUGCAGUUAUUAAAAAAAAUGGCCAGUCAUGGUUUUAUUAUCUUUGAUUAUCGGUGUUCCACAUCAUAACAUCAUGUACUGCACCGGGAGUUAAAGAGUUAAUGCUCCAGUUCCAGGCACCUGUCUGGAAGAGAAGAAGAACUACAUUCCUCAGGGGGCUUUGCGGACAGAGAGAAUAUAUAACCCCUGGCAAGGUCACCUGAUUUCUCUCCCUUCCCUCGGCUCUCCUCCCUGUUGCUCGUCCCGACCACAUGCAUCACCUCAGCACUACUGAAGAAGACAUUCCAGAUUUAUUUGGAAUCCUGGAAUGAGAUGUCAGUGCAGCUGGGGAUGAGAGAAAGGCCAGUGAUUCAAUGGAUCGUUAAGUCUUCAUCUUUCAUGAUAUUCCCAUGUAAAAUAACUUUGUGUGGAUGUUCUCCGCAUUACAUGGCAUUCCCUAGUCAUUGUGCUGCAGGUUAGCUCAGUACUUGGGCAACACUGAGACUUGACCAUUUUCAGAUGACAAUUUACCGUAGGAUGGUGUUUAGGGUGGACAGAAAAGCAUUCUCUCUUUGGCACCUUGUUACUGGUUGACAUGGCACAUGAUUCAUCUCAUGUGCUACGGGAUAAUCUAUAAAGCCUCUCGAUAUUCCUGACUCCAUUGAGGCUUUCAUCUAGUCAUGAUAUCAAUAGAGGAUAAAUAGUGUGUAACAGCCCCUGGCACAUAGUUAAUUGCAGUAACAGAAAAUACAUAAGAUUAGCGUUUUAUAAUAUUGUUUCUAUUCAGUGCCAAUAACAACCUUAAUUUAUUUCAUGAUUCAUGAAGUUAUUCAUACCCCUGACAUCAUAUUCUCAUCACUGGGGAAAAUGAUGAAACUUCUUUAUGAGAAAAUGAUAAAUAAUCUAAUAAAAUUUUGUAGUUCAUUCACUGUAAAAGAAGAUUGCCACUGCAAUUUUAUAUAAUUUUCUUUUCUUUACCAUUGCAUUGAUAUUUCUUUUAGUCAUGCAGUUGUAUUCCCAUACUCAUUAGUUUAACUGAUACAAGACAAGUAUAUAUUGUACUUUAAAUAAAAAUUAACAUUUCC
rnacentral:lncRNA from 1 species